rnacentral:misc_RNA from 1 species
AGAAAAUCAGUUUGAUGACCCGAAUUCCCGCAUCUGUCCAGCGCUUAAUUUACCAGGGCAAACAGCUUCGAGUAGACCAGACGAUAUCGGAUUGUGGAAUUAACAUGGAAUCCAACUUGCAACUCGUCGGCCGAUUGAGGAGCACAAAGUAUUCUCACGCUUGGAAGCUCAUGAAUGAAUUGUCUUCAUUAAUUUGGGGAUUUUGCAAAAGCGAAUUCUAUUUGAU